rnacentral:rRNA from 1 species
AGGACGAACGCUGGCGGCGUGCUUAACACAUGCAAGUCGAACGGAUCGGUCGGUGCUUGCACCGGCCGGUUAGUGGCGAACGGGUGAGUAACACGUGAGCAACCUGCCCUUGACUCUGGGAUAACCCCGGGAAACCGGAGCUAAUACCGGAUACGAACCACCCAGGCAUCUAGGUGGUUGGAAAGAAUUUCCGGUCAAGGAGUGGCUCGCGGCCUAUCAGCUUUGUUGGUGAAGGGUACCGGCCCCAACGAAGGGCCGACGGAACGGGU